rnacentral:lncRNA from 1 species
UUUUUUGUCUUUCUGCCAUUUCUUGGGCCGCUCCCAUAGCAUAUGGAGGUUCCCAGGGCAAGGGUCGAAUCGGAGCUGUAACCACUGGCCUACACCAGAGCCACAGCAACCCGGGAUCCAAGUCUGCAACCUACACCACAGCUCACGGUGAUGCUGGAUCCCCAACCCAUUGAGCAAGGCCGGGGAUCGAACCCACAACCCCAUGAUUCCUAGUCAGAUUCGUUAACCACUGAGCCACGACGGGAACUCUAGUCCCAGUUUAUUUUUGAUGCUCCGAGAUAAUUUUUUUUUUUUUUUUUUGUCUUUUCAGGGCCACACCCAUGGCAUAUGGAGGUUAAGGAUUCGGCAUUGUCACUGCAGUGGCUCAGGUCACUGCUGUGGCAUGGGUUCAGUCCCUGGCCUGUGAACCUCCACAUGCCACAGGUGUGGCCAAAGGAAAAAAAAAAAAAAAAACAAUGCUUAGAGGGAAGUAAGUGCUAAUCCAGAUUUUCAUUCACAACUAAAACAUCAAUCAAGAACAAGAGCUAGGAGUUCCUGCUCUGGUGCAGCGGGUUAAGAAUCCAUCUGCAGCAGUUCAGUUUGCUAAAAAGGCAUGGGUUCAAUCUUUGGCCUGGCACAGUGGGUUAAAGAAUCCAGCAUUGCUGCAGCUGUGGUGUGGGUCACAGCUGCAGCCUGAAUUCAGUCUCUGGCCUGGGAACUUCCAUAUGCUACAAGUGCAGCCAUUUAAAAAAAAAAAAAAGGGCUAAAUAUUUUCAACAAACAAAAAUCCUAAUUUACCACCAACAGACCUUUAGUCAAGGAACUUCUGAAGGAUAUACUUCAUGAAGAAGGAACGUGAUUUCAGAACAAAAGCUAACAAGAAAUUGGUAAACGUGGUGAAGUUAAAUAAAUACGAAUUGUAUAAAAAGAAUAAAAUGCUUAAUAAUGUCCUGAAAAGAACAAGGUAGAAUUAUAAUACUGAACGACUAUAACAAAAGGAGUGAUUCAUCCAUAGUGGCCUUCUUCUGGAAACUUGUCUCUUCUACCACCACACCUCCAACCACCCACUUAAUUACUAACUGAUAUCAAAUUAGCUCAGUGUUGUCCCACACCAUAAAUGAUAGUCCAGAGGUGGGCAACCAGUCCAAGCAGGAACAAACACAAUCUUUAGAAACUACAAAUAGAUUACAAAAGCAAAGAGCAGGAGUCAACAGGUAUACAGUUGUGUUCAUGAAGCACCACAUGCCUUGUUGAUGCCUCCUACUAUUGUCUGAAAUGCUUCCUUCCGCUUUUCUACUUGUCUAAACCAUCUUUGAAGGACCCAGCUUAAGCCUUCCCAUCCCCCUCACCUGGCCAUCCUUCCUUCUAUAAAUGAAACGAAGUGGAAAAUAAUUAACCUCUGUGGACUCUCAGUGUACCAGGAAUUUCACAUACACUACCACUUAACCUUAACUACACUGGAAUGACAGCACUUGCGGUCUCUACACUCAGCACAGCAGUUAUUUUCUUAAAGGAUACUGCCCUACUUAACAGCUUCCUAAACAUUCUAUAUGUUUACAUGUGUUCUCUGUCACCAGAAUAUAACAUUCUCAAAUAUAAGAACUAUGUCUUCCAUGUCAUUCUUACUCCCAUUCAUCUUCUCUACUCCUCCCCUCUCAUUUCGAAAUAUU